rnacentral:rRNA from 1 species
GCUUAACACAUGCAAGUCGAGCGAGAAUCGUUUUGCUGAAGGCUUCGGUCUGACGCAGAAUGAGGAAAGCGGCGAACGGGUGAGUAACGCGUGGGCAACCUGGCCUUAAGAAAAGGAAAGCCCCCGGAAACGGGGAGUAAUACUUUAUGAGAAUAGAAAAGGGCAUCCUAUUUCUAUUCAAAGCGCAAGCGCUUAAGGAUGGGCCCGCGUAUCAUUAGCUAGUUGGUGAGAUAACAGCCCACCAAGGCAACGAUGAUUAGCCGGUCUGAGAGGGCGAACGGCCACAUUGGAACUGAGAGACGGUCCUAACUCCUACGGGAGGCAGCAGUGGGGAAUAUUGCGCAAUGGAGAAGAACUCUGACGCAGCAACACCGCGAGAGCGAAGAAGGUCUUCGGAUCGUAAAGCUCUGUUAUCAGGGAAGAAGAAAAUGACGGUACCUGAUGAGCAAGUCCCGGCUAACUACGUGCCAGCAGCCGCCGCCGUAA